GACGGGGGAUGCGAGCGUUAUCCGGAAUGAUUGGGCGUAAAGGGUCCGCAGGUGGCCCGGUCAGUCCGCUGUCAAAGCCUGGGGCUCAACCCUGGAGAGGCGGCGGAGACCACCGGGCUUGAGUCCGGUAGGGGCAGAGGGAAUUCCCGGUGGAGCGGUGAAAUGCGUAGAUAUUGGGAGGAACACCAGUGGCGAAGGCGGCUCACUGGACCGGUACUGACGCUGAGGCGCGAAAGCGUGGGGAUCAAACAGG
rnacentral:rRNA from 1 species